rnacentral:rRNA from 1 species
GACGAACGCUGGCGGCGUGCUUAACACAUGCAAGUCGAGCGGUAAGGCCCUUUCGGGGGUACACGAGCGGCGAACGGGUGAGUAACACGUGGGUGACCUGCCCUUAGCUCUGGGAUAAGCCUGGGAAACUGGGUCUAAUACCGGAUAUGACUCCAUAACGCAUGUUGUGGGGUGGAAAGCCUUGUGCGGCUAGGGAUGGGCCCGCGGCCUAUCAGCUUGUUGGUGGGGUGAUGGCCACCAAGGCGACGACGGGUAGCCGGCCUGAGAGGGCGACCGGCCACACUGGGACUGAGACACGGCCCACGACUCCUACGGGAGGGCAGCAGUGGGGAAUCUUGCGCAAUGGGCGAAAGCCUGACGCAGCGACGCCGCGUGGGGA